rnacentral:ncRNA from 1 species
CCAUGCACUGAAUAUGCAUAAAAUAUAAGUCAGAAAAGUUACCACAGGGAUAACUGAGCUUGUGGCAGCCAAGCGUUCAUAUCGCUGUCGCUUUUUGAUCCUUCCAUGUCAGCUCUUCCUAUUGUUGUGAAGCAGAACUCACCAAGCAUUGGGCUGUUCACUCGCUAAUUGGGAACCUGCAUUUAGACCAUCGUGAGACAGGUCAGCU